GCCCGGCCCUAUCGAAGCUGCGUCUGGCCCUGCGCUGUGGCAGGCGCGGUCAAAAAGGAGCCGAGAGCCACGCGUUUUCCUCGACGGUCGCUGCGCAGUUCGGUUUUGUGUAACUGCCCAGCAACAAAUCGGGAAAAUACAGGG
rnacentral:snoRNA from 1 species